rnacentral:rRNA from 1 species
UACGUAGGUGGCAAGCGUUGUUCGGAAUGACUGGGCGUAAAGGGCGUGUAGGUGGACUGAUCAGUCGGGUGUGAAAUAUCCAGGCUCAACCUGGAGGGUGCAUCCGAUACGGUCAGUCUUGAGUGCAGGAGAGGGCAGUGGAAUUCCUAGUGUAGCGGUGAAAUGCGUAGAUAUUAGGAGGAACACCAGUGGCGAAGGCGGCUUACUGGACUGUAACUGACGUUGAGGCUCGAAAGCGUGGGGAGCAAACAGGAUUAGA